rnacentral:lncRNA from 1 species
ACUCUCCACCUCCACCACCUGUUUACUCUCCGCCUCCACCACCGCCUUCACCUCCACCACCAGUAUAUUCACCACCUCCUCCGCCUUCACCUCCCCCGCCUGUUUAUUCUCCACCUCCGCCUCCACCUUCACCACCACCGCCAGUGUACUCACCUCCUCCACCACCUCCUUCUCCCCCGCCACCUUCACCACCACCACCUCCUCCACCAGUUUACUCUCCACCACCACCCCCACCUUCUCCACCUCCACCUUCACCUCCUCCACCAUCGCCUCCUCCUCCAUCUCCACCACCGCCCUCACCAUUGCCUCCCUGUGUCCGUCUCCCACCACCUCCACCACCAAAUUCUCCACCGCCUCCACCACCAAAUUCUCCACCACCUCCAAUAUUUUCUCCACCACCGCCAACUCCUUACUAUUACAGCUCUCCACCGCCACCCUCACCACCACAUUCGCCACCCCCAC